GACGAACCGUGCGAACGUUAUUCGGAAUCAUUGGGCGUAAAGGGUGCGUAGGUGGCGCGAUAAGUCGGGUGUGAAAUCUCGGAGCUUAACUCCGAAAUUGCAUUCGAUACUGCCGUGCUCGAGGACUGGAGAGGAGACUGGAAUUCAUGGUGUAGCAGUGAAAUGCGUAGAGAUCAUGAGGAAGACCAGUGGCGAAGGCGGGUCUCUGGACAGUUCCUGACACUGAGGCACGAAGGCCAGGGGAGCAAACGGG
rnacentral:rRNA from 1 species